rnacentral:tRNA from 2 species
GGAGACGUGUCCGAGUGGUUGAAGGAGCACGCCUGGAAAGUGUGUAUACGGGAAACUGUAUCGCGAGUUCGAAUCUCGCCGUCUCCGCCA